GUUUUAAUAAUUUAUAUAAAAUAUUAGUCUUGUAAACUAAAAAUAAGAUUCUCUUUUAAAACU
rnacentral:tRNA from 1 species